rfam:Kocuria polaris strain CMS 76or contig08, whole genome shotgun sequence.
CGGAGCACAUCGCCGAAUUCUGCCGGUGCCCGUGGCCUCUACACAGAAACUGCUUGGCAGAAGCGGGGGAACCACUUUCGGUCCCGGUGAUCCGGGUCCUUGGGGUUAAGUCGUCAGAGCGCGUGCGUUCUGCGGCCGGGUGUCUCCCACCCGAAUCCGACAGCUCACCUCGUAGGCAAAGGGAGGAACU